GCCCCAGUAGCGCAAUGGACUAGCGCGUUGUACUUCUAAUUCAAAGGUUGUGGGUGCGUCUCCCAUCUGGUGUG
rnacentral:tRNA from 1 species